AGUCACUACCGAUUUUUUAAACAAUUAUGGCCUGGAUGCGUGUCCUUUAAGCCUUAAGCUUUUUUUUUUUUACUACGUUAGGCGUUUUUAAGUAUUAACCAUUCCGCUUUUGAUUGACAUGCUAUAUUAAGCAACCGCUAAUAGUAAAGCUUUAAACGAUAAUUUAGUACUGCUAUUUUUUAAUGGUGAGUGCAACAAAAUUAAUAUUUGUUAUUUUAUAAUUAAUUUAUAAAGAAUACAUCGCAAGCACGUUUUUGUUUAUGCAUACCAUAAAAACGCCUCAAGCUCAGUUCAUCGAUUUGACAUAACGUUGUAAACACAAAGUACAAUGAACUCUUUCAUUUUCGCGAUAAAAUUGACUGAAACAUCGUGAAUAAUGAAUUAAAUGUGUCUUAAUCAGUGCCAUUUUGUUAUUUCAUAGCAGUUAUAUAUAAAAGCGAGCCUUAUAUAGUGGUGUUCAUAAGUAUGUUAAGUAGGGCGUGGAGCGGUCAUAUUAGGAGCUAUUUUUACACUUUACUAUUAUGUUAUAAUAAAUAAAGAUGCAAAUGCAACGGAGAAGCAUGGAGGCUGGCAGUGAUGUAAGCUACUAUGACAGGGAGCCCUAUGAAGACUGGGGAAGCAGGUCGUCACUCAGCCAACAAGAAGAGGUAAAUAAUUAAUUAACAUAAUUAUCACCAUUGACAUAUCUAAGGACGGGCCUUACGGACAAUAAGAAUGGGGCCAGUACAGCGGCGUCACGCACACGAAUUCGAGGCAAUCGUACAGUUUAAGAGCCCGGUAACGAUUUUAGAGCAAAAAUGUAAAAUUGAUAGAUUUUGUUGUUGAAAUUGUACACCUUUGUUACGUAAUAUCUAAAUAAAAAGUAUUGUUUUCUUUUAGUAUGUCUUCUCAUCUUGCUUUUAAUAAUGAGGUUGCAAGCGUGACGAGAAGGGACAGUUUUU